AGUGAACGCUGGCGGUAGGCCUAACACAUGCAAGUCGAACGGCAGCACAGUAAGAGCUUGCUCUUACGGGUGGCGAGUGGCGGACGGGUGAGGAAUACAUCGGAAUCUACUUUUUCGUGGGGGAUAACGUAGGGAAACUUACGCUAAUACCGCAUACGACCUACGGGUGAAAGCAGGGGAUCUUCGGACCUUGCGCGAUUGAAUGAGCCGAUGUCGGAUUAGCUAGUUGGCGGGGUAAAGGCCCACCAAGGCGACGAUCCGUAGCUGGACUGAGAGGAUGAUCAGCCAAACUGGAACUGAGACACGGUCCAGACUCCUACGGGAGGCAGCAGUGGGGAAUAUUGGACAAUGGGCGCAAGCCUGAUCCAGCCAUACCGCGUGGGUGAAGAAGGCCUUCGGGUUGUAAAGCCCUUUGGUUGGGAAAGAAAAGCAGCAGGUUAAUACCCCGCUGUUCUGACGGUACCCAAAGAAUAAGCACCGGCUAACUUCGUG
rnacentral:rRNA from 1 species